GGGCACUUGGUCUAGGGGUAUGAUUUUCGCUUCGCAAUAGUAAAAUGCACGUGUGAAAGGUCGUGGGUUCAAUUCCCACAGUGUCCA
rnacentral:tRNA from 1 species